UACAGAGGUCCCGAGCGUUGUUCGGAUUCACUGGGCGUAAAGGGUGCGUAGGUGGUGAGGUAAGUCGGAUGUGAAAGCUCCAAGCUCAACUUGGAAAUGGCAUUGGAAACUACCUUGCUAGAGGGUUUGAGGGGGGACUGGAAUACUUGGUGUAGCAGUGAAAUGCGUAGAUAUCAAGUGGAACACCAGUGGCGAAGGCGGGACUCUGGGCCGAUACUGACGCUGAGGAGCGAAAGCGUGGGGAGCAAACAGG
rnacentral:rRNA from 1 species